AGCGAACGCUGGCGGCAGGCCUAACACAUGCAAGUCGAACGGACCUUUCGGGGUUAGUGGCGGACGGGUGAGUAACACGUGGGAACGUGCCUUUAGGUUCGGAAUAAGCUCGGGAAACUGGGUCUAAUACCGAAUGUGCCCUUCGGGGGAAAGAUUUAUCGCCUUUAGAGCGGCCCGCGUCUGAUUAGCUAGUUGGUGGUGUAAUGGACCACCAAGGCGACGAUCAGUAGCUGGUCUGAGAGGAUGACCAGCCACACUGGAACUGAGACACGGCCCAGACUCCUACGGGAGGCAGCAGUGGGGGAAUAUUGGACAAUGGGCGAAAGCCUGAUCCAGCAAUGCCGCGUGAGUGAUGAAGGCCUUAGGGUUGUAAAGCUCUUUUACCCGAGAUGAUAAUGACAGUAUCGGGAGAAUAAGCUCCGGCUAACUCCGUG
rnacentral:rRNA from 1 species